AUGUGGGUCGUUUCCUCGACUUCUGGAUCCUUUCUUGGUAUUGAAGUCCCCAUCUUCCUUCUGGCAGCAGCUUUGAGAGAGAAGCGUGGGCAUACAGUGGGGAGGAGGGUGCCUCCUGGCUGGCUUCUCUCCAGGAGUAUUGGUGGCUGCAAUCAUCCUGUGGACUUUUUUGUGUCUUGUUAGAGUCAACUGGAUAUUAAAUCUGAAGACUGUCAGAAGAUAUAUUUGGCCCAGGCUUCUGUGGAGGGUGUCACACAGGAACUACAGCUGUCUACAGGAAGCAUCAGCCAUUCUUCUUCAGCUGGAGUUUUUGCAGCUGUAUAGCUCUGGUGCAAGGAUAUGAGAAACCCACCAGACAGGGUAAGAACUGUCAUGGCUUAGAAACCUCAGACCUUACUACUGUACCAAUUAUUUCUUAUAAUGACUCAAUAGGAUUCCAGUCUCCAAAGGGCAAUCCAGUCCCAAGAGUUACCAUACUCAGGAAGACCCAUAGCUACCUGUCUGAUUGGGUAUUUAGAGCACAUUUCUAGUCUCUCCCAAUCCAGAUGCAGUUGACCAAACAAGGGUUAUCUUAAUCAUUAAGCAACGUUGCUUAGUGCUAUAGACUUAAUAUUUAUUUUCCCCUACCCCUAAUCCAUAUGUUAAAUCCGAACCCCCAAGGUGAUUAGAGUUAGGAGAUGAACCCUUUGGAAAGUGAUUAGGUCAUGAAGGCAGAGCCUCCAAACCCAAGGAAUUCAUGCUCUUAUAAAAAGAAGACUGAGAAAGUGUCUACCUCUUCCCUCAUAUGAGGUUACAAAAAAGAUGGUAGUUUAGGACUGAAUCCUUGCCCAAUACCAAGCCUUCCAGCGCCUGGAUCUUAGACUUUCCAGCCUUCAGGACUGUGAGAUAUAAGUUUCUAUGGUUUAUAAAUUCCGCAGUCCAUGGUAUCUUUCUUACAGCAGCUUGAAUAGACACACACUUACUAUUGUAGUUAACAUUCCAUCUGAGGAACAAUCAGGUGUUUAGGUGGUCAUUUUAAGACAGCAAGCCAGGAGUUCCUAUUGUAAUGGUAAUUGGUUCAUUCAAUGGUAAUGAACCAGACUAGUGUCCAUGAGGAUGCAGGUUUGAUCCUUUGCCCCUUUUAGUGGGUUAAGGAUCCAGUGUUGCUGUGAGCUGCUCUGUAGGUCAAAGAUGUGGCUUGGAU
rnacentral:lncRNA from 1 species